rnacentral:rRNA from 1 species
UACGUAGGGCGCAAGCGUUAUCCGGAAUUAUUGGGCGUAAAGAGCUCGUAGGCGGUUCGGCAAGUCGGAUGUGAAAUCUCCACGCUUAACGUGGAGGGGCCAUUCGAAACUGCCGUGACUCGAGUCCGGUAGGGGAGUGCGGAAUUCCCGGUGUAGCGGUGAAAUGCGCAGAUAUCGGAAGGAACACCAGUGGCGAAGGCGGCACUCUGGGCCGGAACUGACGCUGAGGAGCGAAAGCGUGGGGAGCGAACAGG